rnacentral:rRNA from 1 species
GAUGGACGGCAGGUUAAUAUUCCUGCACCAUGUCCAACAGUCGAAGGCGUCAGGACGCCGUGUGAAAAGAGAGCACCCGGUCAGAUGAGGGUGUCCCGCAAGGGCGAGGGCAUAUAUGAUCCCGAAGUCUUUGGCAGCACGGUCAAGAAAAGCCGACGCUGGAUGUUGGAUGUGCCCGUACUAAAACCGACACAGGUAGGCGUGAUGAAUAUUCUAAGGCGCUCGAGAGAACGCUGGUGAAGGAACUCGGCAACAUAACCCCGUAACUUCGGGAUAAGGGGUGCCCCUUGGGGUGUAACAGCUUCGGGGGGCCGCAGUGAAAGGGAUCUGGCGACUGUUUACUAAAAACAUAGGUCUGUGCCAACGCGUAAGCGGACGUAUACAGACUGACGCCUGCCCGGUGUCGGCAAGUUAAGGAAGGGGGUUAACAGGCGCAAGCCUGUGAAGCUCGCAACCGAAGCUCCGAUAAACGGCGGCCGUAACUAUGACGGUCCUAAGGUAGCGAAGUUCCUUGUCGGGUAAGUUCCGACCUGCAUGAAUGGCGUAACGACCGGAUCACUGUCUCCACCAGCGACUCGGUGAAACUGUAGUUGUUGUGAAGAUGCAACAUACCCGCAACUAGACGGAAAGACCCCGUGAACCUUUACUGCAGCUUAGUAUUGGGCUUAGGCCCAGCAUGCGUAGAGUAGCUGGGAGGCUGUGAACCCUUUACUCCGGUAGAGGGGGAGCCGACAAAUGAAACACCAGCCUUGUUGUGCUUGAGUUCUAACCCCGACCCGUGAAUCCGGGCGGCGGACAGUGCUAAGUGGGCAGUUUGACUGGGGCGGUCUCCUCCUAAAAGGUAACGGAGGAGCCCAAAGGUGCCCUCAGCCCGGUCGGCAAUCGGGCAUUGAGCGUAAAGGUAGAAGGGCGCUUGACUGCGAGUCCCAUCAGACGAGCAGGUGCGAAAGCAGGGCUUAGUGAUCCGGCGGUGCUGGAUGGAAAGGCCGUCGCUCAACAGAUAAAAGGUACUCCGGGGAUAACAGGCUUAUCUCCUCUGAGCGUUCACAGCGGCGAGGAGGUUUGGCACCUCGAUGUCGGCUCAUCGCAUCCUGGGGGUGGAGAAGCUCCCAAGGGUUUGGCUGUUCGCCAAUGAAAGCGGUACGUGAGCUGGGUUUAGACCGUCGUGAGACAGGUCGGUCCCUAUCUGUUGCGGGCGCAGGAGGCUUGAGCGGUUUUCUCCCUAGUACGAGAGGAUUGGGAGGGACGUACCUCUGGUGUGCCAGUUGUCGUGCUAACGGCAGCGCUGGGUAGCCACGUACGGCCGGGAUAAACGCUGAAGGCAUAUAAGCGUGAAACCCUCCGCGAGAUGAGGCCUCCGGCACCCUUGUGGUGCGAAGGCUCCUGGAAGAUCACCAGGUCGAUAGGCUGGGUGUGUAAGCACAGCAAUGUGUUAAGCUGACCAGUACUAACAGCCAAACGCUUGGCC